rnacentral:lncRNA from 1 species
AAUUUUUUUUAGAACUGAAAGUAUAGGCAUAAUAGUUUUGCAAUCAACAAAGUUGAAAAGUCAAAAUUUUAGAAAUAUGAUAAAAAAUGUGUUAAUGUCAAACAGCAUUCUGUCCUUUCCUCUGCAGAUGUAGGCGCUGACAUUCAAGCUUAUAAUACCAUGGCCAGCUCCUGUAUGAAUCAGCCCAGGUUGAUUCAGGAGGUGGGACGCAGGAGAGAUCAUAUUCUAAGAUUGGAUGACCUAAGCUACCAUCUUCCUCCUCGUAGGCACCUUUCUGACUCAGAUCCUGCAUAUGUAUCAGAACGCUUUCCAAAUUCCUACUUUAUUUUACACUCACAAUGACCUUAUUAAAUGGCUAAAGCAGAUGAGGAUAGACUGGACAAUCCUGAGACCCAGAGAAGCUGACUUUUAUAUGAUCAGAAUUUGAGUCUGAGAUAAAGUAAAAUUUAAUUACUUCAAGCUAAUGCCAGAAAGGUAUGAUUUAUGAAAAACUAUUUAAAGAAAUAUUCUCUUUACU